CACGCCCUAAACGAUCUUCUCUAGGUUUUCGGAGUAUCGACCCUCUGAGAGCCACAGCUAACGCGUUAAGAGAAGCGCCUGGGUAGUACGACCGCAAGGUUAAAACUCAAAGGAAUAGACGGGGACUUGCACAAGCGGAGGAUCAUGUGGUUUAAUUCGAUAACAAACGAAGAACCUUACCAGGGUUAGAAAUCUAGUUGAAGAAUAGGAGAAACCUUAUUCGCCGCAAGGCAAUUAGACAGGUGA
rnacentral:rRNA from 1 species